GGGAUGCAAGGAGUGGAUUGGUAUGCGUAAGGGAAAGAUCUUCAUUGAUGGGCUAGCCUGCUCCCCAAAUCCAUGGGGCCUCUCCUGCGGAUUGUAGCUGCAAGAGUAUCCCAUACCUCUGGGACCGUUUCUGCUCUUCCCCUGCAAACUGUGGCCCUGGCUGGUGCUGCUGUUUGGAGUUUUUCUGUCCUGCUGGUGUCGUGUUCCUGCUCUCCAACUUACUCCCUUCUGCCUUGGAUUGAUGGCCUGGAGGAGAAGCUGUCCCUCUGCAGACAAAGCAUGGAGGUGGUGGACCUUAAGCUGCGCAGAGAGGAGCUCAGUCCCGAAAGAAGAAAGUCACUGGAGAGAGAGAGAAGCCUGCUUCUGACCAAAGCUGAAACCUAUGUGCCAGGGUCUGCCUGUAGCAUCCUGUGCAGGGAUGUUGGAAUUGCUGAGGUUGCGUUAGUCAGCGCCCACCGCUCCUAGUUCCUCCCUGGGCAGAGGCAUCAGUAGAUGAUUCCUGAGGCUCCGCUGCUGCAUCACUGAGAUUGAUCCUCAGCGGGUUUGUCCGCCAUGUCGAUCCAGACUCCUUGAAAGAAAGAACUGAAAGUGCUCCGUAAGGAAAAUCGCAAGAAUGCAGCCAUUGCAAUGGCCAUGGUACUGUUGAUUAUUGUUGUUUACACCUGCUGGACAAUGUAAUCACGGUUCUCACGACUGACCACAGGGCUCCACUGCAAAGACCUCUUCCUUCAACCGAUGUGCCUCCCACCCAAGGGGCUGGUCAGCUUUUCAAACCGUUAGUCACCUGCAGUCUUCACAGCCUGGACAGCCUUAUCUCUGGCAGCUGAGGAUCUUGAAGGCAAAGGGAAGCUACAGACACAGAACAAGUGGGUUUGGAGAGCAGACAAGUUCAGCUGGAGCCGUCUCCUCCACACACUAUCCUGGGGGGCCCAUGGAACAGAGAAUGCAAAUUAAUUUCAGGGGGAUGAAUGACCCAAGUUCCCCUUUUCUUAGUGGGCUCUCUCUGUUCCUUGCUGCUCACUACAAGGUUUUGGAGCCUGAAAUCAUCACUGCUCAGCCCAGUCAGAACCUGGGAAAGCUUCCCUCUCACUGUACCUCAACCCUGAGCUGAAGGGACCAAUCUCUAGAGCUCAAAGGGGCAUUCAGUCAUUGUGCCUCUCUCCUGUGAUUGCCAAAAAUCCCCAUGUGUAGUAGUGCCAGUUACAGGGACACUUUUCAAAAUAUCUUCCCACUAACCUGUCGGGAGCCAGAGGAGUCACUACCUGAAAAUGGGGUCUUGGGGGUGGUGUUUUCCUGCUGCUCAGCCAAAUGAACUAAGAGGGCAGGAAGACAAUAGCAGUUCCUAACCCUGGGUGUUAGUGUGUAUCUAUGUACAGCCCCCUGAGGCAGGGCCCAGCAAAGGGAACUGCUGUCUCAGAGGGAUAGUUCUGGGACACCAAGGAUCCAAACUCAUUGACUUAAUGGCAGGGGCGCUCUGAACUCAGGGCUGAACCUGUAUUGUUUUUUAAAUAAAGUCCUUUGAACAUAUAAAGAGCAAAUGCA